AUUGAACGCUGGCGGCAGGCCUAACACAUGCAAGUCGAGCGGAUGAAGGGAGCUUGCUCCUGGAUUCAGCGGCGGACGGGUGAGUAAUGCCUAGGAAUCUGCCUUGUAGUGGGGGAUAACGUCCGGAAACGGGCGCUAAUACCGCAUACGUCCUGAGGGAGAAAGUGGGGGAUCUUCGGACCUCACGCUAUCAGAUGAGCUUAGGUCGGAUUAGCUAGUUGUUGGGGUAAAGGCCUACCAAGGCGACGAUCCGUAACUGGUCUGAGAGGAUGAUCAGUCACACUGGAACUGAGACACGGUCCAGACUCCUACGGGAGGCAGCAGUGGGGAAUAUUGGACAAUGGGCGAAAGCCUGAUGCAGCAAUGCCGCGUGUGUGAAGAAGGUCUUCGGAUUGUAAAGCACUUUAAGUUGGGAGGAAGGGCAGUAAGUUAAAACCUUGCUGUUUUGACGUUACCAACAGAAUAAGCACCGGCUAACUUCGUG
rnacentral:rRNA from 1 species